AGCAGCCGCGGUAAUUCCAGCUCCAAUAGCGUAUAUUAAAGUUGCUGCAGUUAAAAAGCUCGUAGUUGAAUUUCGGGAUCAAUUCGUCGGUCGUGCUUUUUGUACGUACUGGUGUUAUUGGUUUCUCCUUUCUGACGAACCAUGAUGUCAUUAAUUUGGUGUUAUGGGGAGUUAGGACUGUUACUUUGAAAAAAUUAGAGUGUUUAAAGCAGGCUCACGCUUGAAUACAUUAGCAUGGAAUAAUGAAAUAGGACGUUUGAUUCUAUUUUGUUGGUUUCUAGGAUUGACGUAAUGAUUAAUAGGGAUAGUUGGGGGGCAUUAGUAUUCAAUUGUCAGAGGUGAAAUUCUUGGAUUUAUUGAAGACUAACUACUGCGAAAGCAUUUGCCAAGGAUGUUUUUCAUUAAUCAAGAACGAAAGUUAGGGGAUCGAAGACGAUCAGAUACCGUCGUAGUCUUAACCAUAAACUAUGCCGACUAGGGAUCGGAUGAUGUUAAUUUUUUUAAUGACUCAUUCGGCGCC
rnacentral:rRNA from 1 species